AAGCUCGUAGUUGAAUUUCGGGGUCAGUAGGUCGGUCGUGCCAACGGUAUGAACUGGCCUCACUGAUUCCUCCCUCUUGUAGAACCGUGAUGCCAUUAACUUGGUGUUGCGGGGAAACAGGACUGUUACUUUGAAAAAAUUAGAGUGUUUAAAGCAGGCUAACGCUUGAAUACAUUAGCAUGGAAUAAUGAAAUAGGACGUCGAUCUUAUUUUGUUGGUUUCUAGGGUUGACGUAAUGAUUAAUAGGGAUAGUUGGG
rnacentral:rRNA from 1 species